rnacentral:rRNA from 1 species
UACGGAGGGUGCGAGCGUUAAUCGGAAUUACUGGGCGUAAAGCGCACGCAGGCGGUUUGUUAAGCUAGAUGUGAAAGCCCCGGGCUCAACCUGGGAUGGUCAUUUAGAACUGGCAGACUAGAGUCUUGGAGAGGGGAGUGGAAUUCCAGGUGUAGCGGUGAAAUGCGUAGAUAUCUGGAGGAACAUCAGUGGCGAAGGUGACUCCCUGGCCAAAGACUGACGCUCAUGUGCGAAAGUGAGGGUAGCGAACAGG